AGGUUAUCAAAAGGCUCCAUAAUAUCCGGAGCAAGUUUUCCCCAGGGAUCAUUGGGCUACUCUACUGGACUCAAGGCAGUGGAUCUCCACUUGGAAAAACUUCUCAACAAAACAACAUAAAAGAUUACUAGUGUUGGUGUUUGGCAGCUGCUCCUGUGGGGCAGUUCAACAAUCCUCUCCAGUCACAUCUGCCUGUACUGCCUACCUGCCACUGGUGAAAGCAAGUCCAAGAUUCCAAAACCGAUGGUAGAAUCAACAGUGCACGCAAAAUUCCAAACUGAAUUUAUUUCAGCAGAUGAAAC